rnacentral:rRNA from 1 species
CAGGACGAACGCUGGCGGCGUGCCUAACACAUGCAAGUCGAGCGAGGAGAUCCUUCGGGAUGAUCCUAGCGGCGGACGGGUGAGUAACACGUGGGCAACCUGCCUCAUAGAGAGGAAUAGCCUUCCGAAAGGGAGAUUAAUACCUCAUAACAUUGCAGUUUCGCAUGGAACAGCAAUUAAAGGAGUAAUCCGCUAUGAGAUGGGCCCGCGGCGCAUUAGCUAGUUGGUGAGGUAAUGGCUCACCAAGGCGACGAUGCGUAGCCGACCUGAGAGGGUGAUCGGCCACAUUGGGACUGAGACACGGCCCAGACUCCUACGGGAGGCAGCAGUGGGGAUAUUGCACAAUGGGGGAAACCCUGAUGCAAGCAACGCCGCGUGAGUGAUGACGGCCUUCGGGUUGUAAAGCUCUGUCUUCAGGGACGAUAAUGACGGUACCCUGAGGAGGAAGCCACGGCUAACUACGUGCCAGCAGCGGC